UACAGAGGGGGCAAGCGUUGUUCGGAAUUACUGGGCGUAAAGGGCGCGUAGGCGGCCUUCUAAGUCGAACGUGAAAUCCCCGGGCUCAACCCGGGAACUGCGUCCGAUACUGGAAGGCUUGAAUCCGGGAGAGGGAUGCGGAAUUCCAGGUGUAGCGGUGAAAUGCGUAGAUAUCUGGAGGAACACCGGUGGCGAAGGCGACUUCCUGGCCUGUUCUUGACGCUGAGGCGCGAAAGCUAGGGGAGCAAACGGG
rnacentral:rRNA from 1 species